UUUUUUUUUUUUUAGAAAAUCGUAAAAACAAUGAGCGUCAAAAUAUUACAUCAAAAACGGAUAUAAGUUUCACACUCAUUUAUAAGGGCAAUCAAAUAUAACGUAAAUUUAACAUUUUUAAAGCAACUAGUUUGUUAAAUUUUCUAAAACAAAGUUCGAAAAAAGAAUUGUACAGAUACUCACUGAGAUAGUGAGCCACUAACUGUGAAUAUCUUACAUUUAGUUGAUCACUUAAUAAUAAAACGGUAACAGUUAUAAACAAAAUUCGCUUA